rnacentral:rRNA from 1 species
UACGAAGGGGGCUAGCGUUGUCCGGAAUCAUUGGGCGUAAAGAGCGUGUAGGCGGCCCGGUAAGUCCGCUGUGAAAGCCGGGGGCUCAACCCUCGGAUGCCGGUGGAUACUGUCGGGCUCGAGUACGGAAGAGGCGAGUGGAAUUCCUGGUGUAGCGGUGAAAUGCGCAGAUAUCAGGAGGAACACCUAUUGCGAAGGCAGCUCGCUGGGACGUUACUGACGCUGAGACGCGAAAGCGUGGGGAGCAAACAGG